AAGGGAGACCUAAUUCAGGUAGGAGACGAAAAAAAAGUAGUCCCUACCAAGAAUCAAUCCCAAAAGGUCGGAGCGAGGCGAAAUUGGCUUUCAAACUAGGUUCUGGGUUCACACAAGACCUGAAUCAGGAACAAGGGCUAUUAGCUCAGGUGGUUAGAGCGCACCCCUGAUAAGGGUGAGGUCCCUGGUUCGAGUCCAGGAUGGCCCACCUGCACAGGUGGCAAAAACAAAGAAAAGAAGCGAGGAAUCAGCACCUUAUCUUACUUAUAUAGUAAGAGAGAAUGCUGGCUCUGAGUAAAGAGUCCAGAGGAACCUUGAAAACUGCAUAGAGCUAGGUGAAAAAGCCAAAAAAGAAGACCGCAA
rnacentral:tRNA from 1 species